rnacentral:rRNA from 1 species
CCUACGGGAGGCAGCAGUGGGGGAUAUUGCACAAUGGGGGAAACCCUGAUGCAGCGAUGCCGCGUGAGAGAAGAAGCGUCUCGGCGUGUAAAGCUCUGUCAGCAGGGAAGAAAAUGACGGUACACGAAGAAGAAGCCCCGGAUAACUAGGCCCCAGCAGCCGCGGUAAUACGCAGGGGGCAAGCGUUAUCCGGAUUUAUUGGGUGUAAAGGGGGCGUAGACGGUGAAGCAAGCCAGGAGUGAAAGCUCGGGGCGCAACCCCGGAACUGCCCUUGGAACUGCGUGGCUGGAGUGCAGGAGGGGCAGGCGGAAUUCCUGGUGUAGCGGUGAAAUGCGUAGAUAUCAGGAGGAACACCGGUGGCGAAGGCGGCCUGCUGGACUGCAACUGACGUUGAGGCCCGAAAGCGUGGGGAGCAAACAGGAUUAGAUACCCUGGUAGUC